rnacentral:misc_RNA from 1 species
UCGAUUCCAAAUCUGUUCACAGUCGGACUUUUGCCGCUUUGGCCAUGGGCAUGAGAGAUUGGGUCUUUGCAAUUGCAGAGAUGCCAGAUACAGACGUUUUUAAUUGCAAAACUGAAAAAAUGGCAAUGUUGUGGCUUGCGUGUUAUUUUCAAGAUGGCUGCUGUCAUUUGACGAGAAUCGACAGCAACUGCAGAUCUCUGAAUAAUGGACCAUCGUCCAGAUUAACAGCCAGGUUAAGUCUGGGCUUUCUUCAUUGCUGAAAUUUGUUUUGUCACACGGAGAACUUCAGAACAAUCAAAGUUCAUGGUCAGUUUGUUUUGCAGUCAUUUUCCAGUUGAGAGAUGUGCUGAAAUGGAGCUUGUGCAGUCUUGCAGUUGAACAUCAUACUUUAAUGUGUCAUUUGCCUAUGUUGGUGUCCAUGCAGUGUUGGUAAAAUGAUCAAAUUAAUGUUUCCUGAUGGCUGUCGGUCUUAUUUAAUCGGUUGCAUUUUGUCGAUUUGUCGUCUCUUGCUACCUAUACCGGCGUUUAGUUUAAUCGUUUUAAUUUAACCUGCAAACGACGCCAAUAUUUCUAACAGCUUGAAGGAAGAGAAAUCUAGUUUGACCAAAUUACCACGGACAUUUAAGCGAACUUGCAACAAAUUAAUGAAAAUCAUGUCCUAAAAUAUUAUACAAACACAAAAUAAGAUUUGUUUAGCUUAUCAGAAUGAGUGUAGCCAUCCCCUGAAUUUAAACCUAUGAAAAUUUGUUGAAUAAAGUAUGAAAAAAUUGA